rnacentral:miRNA from 1 species
CUCAUCAACAGGAAGGAAUCCCUUCUGGUUGAUGAGGUAUAGCUUCCUCAUUGACCGGAAGGACUCUCCUUUGGUCAAUGAGGAAGCUAAACCUCAUCAACCGGAAGGAAUUCCUUCCAGUUGAUGAG